AUGUAAGAUGCAUAGCUCUCACCUCUAUCCAUCUGGGGCCUCUCUUCAGACAUGGCUUUCCUGAGGGUCAGGUGUCUGCCAUCCCUGCUCUCAUUGGCUGGAAAGUCGGACUGGGGUCUCUGAAUGGUGAGAACACACAGGACAAGCAGCGGUGAGGUGAUCAAGGUGGUGAAAACAGGACCAGAGGAAAAGUCAAAUAAAUGUGGGAGAAAGGAAAAGGGACAAAGAAGAGCAAAACAAGAAAGGAAUAAAAGAUGAGUGCAAGGCG